rnacentral:rRNA from 1 species
GAUGAACGCUGGCGGCGUGCUUAACACAUGCAAGUCGAACGAUGAAGCCCAGCUUGCUGGGUGGCUUAGUGGCGAACGGGUGAGUAACACGUGAGUAACCUGUCCUUAACUCUGGGAUAAGCCUGGGAAACUGGGUCUAAUACCGGAUAGGAGCGUCCACCGCAUGGUGGGUGUUGGAAAGAUUUAUCGGUUUUGGAUGGACUCGCGGCCUAUCAGCUUGUUGGUGAGGUAAUGGCUCACCAAGGCGACGACGGGUAGCCGGCCUGAGAGGGUGACCGGCGAGAGGGGGACGGAGAGAAGGCCAAGAGGAGUACGGGAGGGAGAAGUGGGGAAUAUGGAGAAAUGGGCGGGAGCGUGAUGCAGCAACGCAGAGUGAGGGAGGAGGGAAGUAGGGGUGUAAACCGGGUUCGCCAGGGACGAAGAGUGAGUGAGGGGGAUGGGUAAAGAAGAGAAGGAGAGGUAAGUG